rnacentral:rRNA from 1 species
AUUGAACGCUGGCGGCAGGCCUAACACAUGCAAGUCGAACGAGUGGCGGACGGGUGUGUAAUGUCUGGGAAACUGCCUGAUGGAGGGGGAUAACUACUGGAAACGGUAGCUAAUACCGCAUACCAUCUGAUUUGCCCAGAUGGGAUUAGCUAGUAGGUGGGGUAACGGCUCACCUAGGCGACGAUCCCUAGCUGGUCUGAAAGGAUGACCAGCCACACAGGAACGGAUGCACGGUCGAGGCUCCUACGGGAGGCAGCAGUGGGGAAUAUGGCACGAGGGGCGCAAGCCUGAUAGAGCCAUGCCGCGUGUAUGAAGAAGGCACUCGGGUUGUAAAGCACUUUUAUCGGGGAGGCGUUACCCGCAGAAGAAGCACCGGCUAACUCCGUGCCAGCAGCCGCGGUAAUAC